rnacentral:rRNA from 1 species
AAAGCUCUCUUCGGAGAGUGCAUAGAGUGGCGCACGGGUGAGUAACACGUAAGUAAUCUACCUUCGAGUGGGGAAUAACGUCCGGAAACGGACGCUAAUACCGCAUAAUGCAGCGGCAUCGCAAGAUGACAGUUGUUAAAGGAGCAAUUCGCUUGAAGAGGAGCUUGCGGCAGAUUAGCUUGUUGGUAAGGUAACGGCUUACCAAGGCUACGAUCUGUAACCGGUCUAAGAGGACGGUCGGUCACACUGACACUGAAUAACGGGUCAGACUCCUACGGGAGGCAGCAGUCGGGAAUUUUGGGCAAUGGGGGAAACCCUGACCCAGCAACGCCGCGUGAAGGAUGAAGUAUUUCGGU